rnacentral:miRNA from 1 species
UAUCACAGCAUUUUACUGAGCC